CGCCACGCCACCACUGCGGCUCUGUUACACCGCACCGCCGCCGCAGCUCUACUACUUCGCAACGACGCCGCAGCUCUCUUACAUUGCACCACCUCCUCGCCGUGCUCUUCUGCUUUGCUCCGCGUCUCCUUUGCUAAUCGUGCCGCCUCUACUCCGUCUAUCCCUGCUCAAUUCGCUCUCUCAUCCACGAUAGAACAUUAAAGUGAAGAAU